GAUGAACGCUAGCUACAGGCUUAACACAUGCAAGUCGAGGGGUAACAAGAGAAAAGCUUGCUUUUCUUGUUGACGACCGGCGCACGGGCGAGUAACGCGUAUCCAACCUGCCUAUAACUAGGGAAUAACCUUGCGAAAGUAAGACUAAUACCCUAUGAUUUCCUUUGAUGACAUCAGAUUAGGAAUAAAGAUUUAUCGGUUAUAGAUGGGGAUGCGUCUGAUUAGCUUGUUGGCGGGGUAACGGCCCACCAAGGCAACGAUCAGUAGGGGUUCUGAGAGGAAGGUCCCCCACAUUGGGACUGAGACACGGUCCAAACUCCUACGGGAGGCAGCAGUGAGGAAUAUUGGUCAAUGGGCGGAAGCCUGAACCAGCCAAGUAGCGUGCAGGAUGACGGCCCUAUGGGUUGUAAACUGCUUUUAUACAGGAAUAAAGUUAGCCACGUGUGGUUAUUUGUAGGUACUGUAUGAAUAAGGACCGGCUAAUUCCGUGCCAGCCGCCGCCGUAAGAC
rnacentral:rRNA from 1 species